rnacentral:tRNA from 1 species
GCGUAUAAGUUAUUGACUUGACUGAGAUUCCUAAUCUGGGGGCCAGUGGUUCGAAUCCACUUGGGCGCACCA